AUUGAACGCUGGCGGCAGGCCUAACACAUUCAAGUCGAACGAUUGGCGGACGGGUGAGUAAUGUCUGGGAAACUGCCUGAUGGAGGGGGAUAACUACUGGUAACGGUAGCUAAUACCGCAUACUAUCAGAUGUGCCCAGAUGGGAUUAGCGAGUUGGUGGGGUAACGGCUCACCAAGGCGACGAUCCCUAGCUGGUCUGAGAGGAUGACCAUCCACACUGGAACUGAGACACGGUCCAGACACCGACGAGAGGCAGCAGUGGGGAAUAUUGCACAAUGGGCGCAAGCAUGAUGCAGCCAUGCCUCGUGUAUGAAGAAGGCCUUCGGGUUGUAAAGUACUUUCAGCGGGGAGGAGUUACCCGAAGAAGAAGCACCAGCUAACUCCGUGCCAGCCGCCGAGGUAAUAC
rnacentral:rRNA from 1 species